CUACGUGCCAGCAGCCGCGGUAAUACGGAAGGUCAGGCGUUAUCCGGAUUUAUUGGGUUUAAAGGGAGCGUAGGCCGGAGAUUAAGUGUGUUGUGAAAUGUAGACGCUCAACGUCUGACUUGCAGCGCAUACUGGUUUCCUUGAGUACGCACAACGUUGGCGGAAUUCGUCGUGUAGCGGUGAAAUGCUUAGAUAUGACGAAGAACUCCGAUUGCGAAGGCAGCUGACGGGAGCGCAACUGACGCUUAAGCUCGAAGGUGCGGGUAUCAAACAGGAUUAGAUACCCUGGUAGUCCGCACAGUAAACGAUGGAUGCCCGCUGUUGGUACCUGGUAUCAGCGGCUAAGCGAAAGCAUUAAGCAUCCCACCUGGGGAGUACGCCGGCAACGGUGAAACUCAAAGGAAUUGACGGGGGCCCGCACAAGCGGAGGAACAUGUGGUUUAAUUCGAUGAUACGCGAGGAACCUUACCCGGGCUUGAA
rnacentral:rRNA from 1 species